UGAAAUCGGAAUUGGGUUUGG
rnacentral:misc_RNA from 1 species